rnacentral:rRNA from 1 species
GACGAACGCUGGCGGCGUGCUUAACACAUGCAAGUCGAACGGAAAGGCCCUGCUUUUGCGGGGUGCUCGAUUGGCGAACGGGUGAGUAACACGUGAGUAACCUGCCCUUGACUUUGGGAUAACUUCAGGAAACUGGGGCUAAUACCGGAUAGGAGCUCCUGCUGCAUGGUGUGGGUUGGAAAGUUUCGGCGGUUGGGGAUGGACUCGCGGCUUAUCAGCUUGUUGGUGAGGUAGUGGCUUACCAAGGCUUUGACGGGUAGCCGGCCUGAGAGGGUGACCGGCCACAUUGGGACUGAGAUACGGCCCAGACUCCUACGGGAGGCAGCAGUGGGGAAUAUUGCACAAUGGGCGGAAGCCUGAUGCAGCAACGCCGCGUGCGGGAUGACGGCCUUCGGGUUGUAAACCGAUUUCGCCUGUGACGAAGCGUGAGUGACGGUAAUGGGUAAAGAAGCACCGGCUAACUACGUG